CCCUUAGAUGUUCUGGGCUGCACGCGCGUUACACUGAUGCAUUCAACGAGCUUAUAACCUUGGCCGAGAGGCCUGGGCAAUCUUGUUAACGUGCAUCGUGAUAGGGAUAGAUUAUUGAAAUUAUUAAUCUUGAACGAGGAAUUCCUAGUAAACGCAGAUCAUCAAUCUGCAUUGAUUACGUCCCUGCCCUUUGUACACACCGCCCGUCGCACCUACCGAUUGGAUGGUCCGGUGAAGCCUCGGGAUUGUGGUUCUUGCCGCUUUGUUGUGGCGUGACCGCGAGAACUUGUCUAAACCUUAUCAUCUAGAGGAAGGUGAAGUCGUAACA
rnacentral:rRNA from 1 species